rnacentral:rRNA from 1 species
AAACUAACAAGGAUUCCCCUAGUAGCGGCGAGCGAAGCGGGAAAAGCUCAAAUUUGUAAUCUGGCGCCUUCGGCGUCCGAGUUGUAAUCUCGAGAAAUGUUUUCCGUGUUAGACCGCAUACAAGUCUCUUGGAACAGAGCGUCAUAGUGGUGAGAACCCAGUACACGAUGCGGAUGCCUAAUACUUUGUGAUACAUUUUCGAAGAGUCGAGUUGUUUGGGAAUGCAGCUCAAAUUGGGUGGUAAAUUCCAUCUAAAGCUAAAUAUUGGCGAGAGACCGAUAGCGAACAAGUACCGUGAGGGAAAGAUGAAAAGCACUUUGGAAAGAGAGUUAACAGUACGUGAAAUUGUUGGAAGGGAAACACAUGCAGUCAGACUUGCUAUUCGGGGCAACUCGAUUGGCAGGCCCGCAUCAGUUUUUCGGGGCGGAAAAGCAUAGAGAGAAGGUAGCAGUUUCGGCUGUGUUAUAGCUCUUUAUUGGAUUCGCCCUGGGGGACUGAGGAACGCAGCGUGCUUUUAGC